UUUUUUUUUUUUUUUUUGAUACAGAGUCUCACUCAGUUGUCCAGACUGGAGUGCAGUGGCGCUAUCUCGGCUCACUGCAACCUCCGCCUCCUGGGUUCAAGCAAUUCUCUUGCCUCAGCCUCCUAAGUAGCCAGGAUUACAGAAAGUAAUGAAUCAUCCAGCUAUCUAUGAAGGCAGAGUAUGACAGAUGUGACAGUCCACAGAAGAUUCUGUCAGCAAUGAGAUAACCACUAUGGGCUCGAAUACAAUACUAGAAGAGGAGAAGAGUAGGACACAGCUAGCAUAGAUGGAAGAAUGACCAUGUGAGGACAUAGCAAGAAGCCAGCGACUGUCUGCAAGCCAUGGAAAAAAACCUCAGAAAGAAAGCCUGUUGACACCUUAAUCUUGAAUUUCUAACCUCCAGAAAUAUCUUGAAGAACCAAGAUCUAGAGAGAAGUAAAAAGAAUUAAUGGUCCAUGGAGCAACAAUACCAGAAAAGGUAGGGAGAUACAAGGAUAUAUGGCACAUUUAGGGAAUUGUGGGUGUCUUAAUGGGCAGGAGUCAGGACACCCGUGGGAAAUGCUGCAUGUGUGUAGGAAAUUGAGGCCGGAGAGGGAGACAGGGGCCAGUAUCUCUGAGUGAGCGGAAACUCAAAAGAUUUGAAUGAAUUGGAACAAGGUAAGAGAUAAGAGUCCUGAACCUCCUUGUUGGAUUUUCUGGGGACAUCUGCCCUGUCUCUUGAAGUCCCCAUUACCUAGCGUGAACUGGCCAUUUUUAUAGUUGAGUAGU